UACGUAGGGUGCGAGCGUUAAUCGGAAUUACUGGGCGUAAAGCGUGCGCAGGCGGGCUUUUAAGCCAGACGUGAAAUCCCCGGGCUUAACCUUGGAAUGGCGUUUGGGACUGGAAGUCUGGAGUACGGCAGAGGAGACUGGAAUUCCUGGUGUAGCAGUGAAAUGCGUAGAGAUCGGUAGGAACACCAGUGGCGAAGGCGGUCUCCUGGGGCAUUCUUGACGCUGAGACGCGAAAGCUGGGGGAGCGAACGGG
rnacentral:rRNA from 1 species